GAUGAACGCUAGCUACAGGCUUAACACAUGACAAGGUCGAGGGGCAGCAUGACGAUAGCUUGCUAUUGUUGAUGGCGACCGGCGCACGGGUGAGUAACGCGUAUCCAACCUUCCCGUUGCUAGGGGAUAACCUUGCGAAAGUAAGACUAAUACCCUAUGAAGUUCUUCGCAGGCAUCUAAAGAGAACGAAAGAUUUAUCGGCAACGGAUGGGGAUGCGUCUGAUUAGGUUGUUGGCGGGGUAACGGCCCACCAAGCCCACGAUCAGUAGGGGUUCUGAGAGGAAGGUCCCCCACAUUGGAACUGAGACACGGUCCAAACUCCUACGGGAGGCAGCAGUGAGGAAUAUUGGUCAAUGGACGGAAGUCUGAACCAGCCAAGUAGCGUGCAGGAAGACGGCCCUAUGGGUUGUAAACUGCUUUUAUGUGGGAAUAAAGUGAGGGACGUGUCCCUUUUGUAGGUACCACAUGAAUAAGGACCGGCUAAUUCCGUG
rnacentral:rRNA from 1 species